AUUGAACGCUGGCGGCAGGCCUAACACAUGCAAGUCGAACGAGUGGCGGACGGGUGAGUAAUGUCUGGGAAACUGCCUGAUGGAGGGGGAUAACUACUGGAAACGGUAGCUAAUACCGCAUACCAUCGGAUGUGCCCAGAUGGGGUUAGCUAGUAGGUGGGGUAAGGGCUCACCUAGGCGACGAUCCCUAGCUGGUCUGAGAGGAUGACCAGCAAAACUGGAACGGAGACAAGGUCCAGACUCAGACGGGAGGCAGCAGUGGGGAAUAUUGCACAAUGGGCGAAAGCCUGAUGCAGCCAUGCCGCGAGUAUGAAGAAGGCCUUCGGGUUGUAAAGUACUUUCAGCAGGGAGGCGUUACCCGCAGAAGAAGCAACGGCUAACUCCGUGCCAGACGCCGCGGUAAUUC
rnacentral:rRNA from 1 species